CCUACGGGUGGCAGCAGUGGGGAAUAUUGCACAAUGGGGGAAACCCUGAUGCAGCGACGCCGCGUGAGUGAAGAAGUAUUUCGGUACGUAAAGCUCUAUCAGCAGGGAAGAAAAAAAGUCCUUUGGACUUGGACGGUACCUGUCCAAGAAGCCCCGGCUAACGACGUGCCAGCAGCCGCGGUAAUACGUAGGGGGCAAGCGUUAUUCGGAUUUACUGGGUGUAAAGGGAGCGUAGACGGCGACGCACGUCGGGAGUGAAAUGCCGGGGCCCAACCCCGGAACUGCUUUGGAAACUGUUCAGCUGGAGUGCAGGAGAGGUAAGCGGAAUUCCUAGUGUAGCGGUGAAAUGCGUAGAUAUUAGGAGGAACACCAGUGGCGAAGGCGGCUUACUGGACUGUAACUGACGUUGAGGCUCGAAAGCGUGGGGAGCAAACAGGAUUAGAUACCCUGGUAGUC
rnacentral:rRNA from 1 species